CAUAGAGGAACAGACAGUUUUAGCCUUAGGGGAUUAGAAGUGCUAACAUCAGAAUGACUUAAAGCUUGUCAUCAGUAUCUCUGCUCUGGGUAACAGUGGAACUGGCUCAGAGCUGGCCACUUUGAGUGACUGCUGGACUUUAAAGCCAAAGGGGACUUGAGAACUGGUCUUUUUCUUCUGGAGAUGACUGGCCUAUAGCUUUCACACAGAGAUCCCUAAGUGCAGAAAAUCUGAGGACCCACCCUGCUCAGCAGCUACCCAUCAACGUGUGUCCUGAUGCAGGAGCUUCAGGUUGAACACUAGGCUGUAUGGCAUGGUUUCCAAUACCCAGCUGAUUUCUAGCACACUCCCACCACAGUGCUUGUCAACAAAACUGAGAGGACAAACAACAGCAUAACAACCUUGUCCACAGAUCAACAAGACAUGAGUCACUGAACAGUAUACCAAGUUAAGGGAUAGUGAGGAAGACAUCCAUAGGGAAGACACAAACGUCUGUCUCACGUGGAGUAGGGAUAGAAAUACCUGGCAGUGGUCUCCAUGCUGCCCCCUUUAUUCCCACAGUUCAAAGCCAUCCCAAAGCCAGAGGAAGGCUUAGCAUACUCUCCUCAAGACUGCACAGAGAACCAACAGAAUCCUAUGUUCCCACCAAUGGAAGCCAACAUAUACGUGUCUCUCACAUAAAGGCUACAUAGACCAUACUGAACUAUUGACACAGAUUCAUGAGUGUGCCAUGCAACUUCAAGUAUGUGUGCCUUGCUCUGUGCCUCAGUUUCCUCAGUGUGGAAAUAUCCUCUAUCUAUUCUUCCUGUGGAAAUCUAGUGUUUGGAAGUGCCACAUAGCAAUAUCUACAUUUAUGGGGAAUAGGUUAUCCACUUCUUCUAACUGUUCUCAUUGCUGGUAGUUGUUCAUUCACUGUGUUUAGUGUGAGGUGCCUGAAGAAUCUGGACAAAAAAAUUCUAGCCAGAUUAUCAUUAUAAUGGUUAUCAUUAUCAUUAUACAUAUUUACAUAUAAAACAUUAUAGUCGAUACACAAAUCUCAAAGAGAAAUAACGAUGAGACUUCUAAAUUAGAUUGCCUUUCCUUGUUUGUUAUCAGGCUGUGGCUUCCAUGUAAAGCAAAUGAAUAUAAAACAGUUUACUGUAAGCCUACAUCACUGUUAGCCUGUAACAAGGACAGUUAAAUGUGACACCACUUCAAACUGGCAGAACCACAAUCAGGGCCGCUGUCUAACCUCACAGCACAGCAGAUCAGUGAUUCUCAGGCCAGCCUGAGAGCAGGAGCAUGAGGGAGACUUUGGACAUCACGCAAUGCUCAUCUUCAUGCCUGUCCUGUGAGCCAACAUCUUCAGAAUGUGGGACCCAAGAGUUCAUAAUCCAUUAAGACCCCCUAGGCAAGCUAGCAAACAGCCAAGGUUACAGUCUCUCUGGGUCGCCAGAGCAAAUGGCCUACUUGAAGCACAUGAGUCACUGGGAGGCACAGUUGCUCAACAGCCAGUUACUGAUGCAAUGACACAUAUGGACCUCAAAGCCAAAGACUAUCUUCUUUCUCGUCAUUUCUACAGCUUUGGAAGUAGCAUUUCCCCCAGGCAUAGCCACCCUAAUAAAAUUAUACACAGAAGCACACAUACGCUGUGGAAGUAUGCAUAUAUACAUGUGCACAUGGACACACGCAGCAUAUGCUGAUCUUU
rnacentral:lncRNA from 1 species